rnacentral:rRNA from 1 species
UACAGAGGUCUCAAGCGUUGUUCGGAUUCAUUGGGCGUAAAGGGUGCGUAGGCGGCGCGGUAAGUCGGGUGUGAAAUCUCGGAGCUUAACUCCGAAACUGCAUUCGAUACUGCCGUGCUUGAGGACUGGAGAGGAGACUGGAAUUCCUGGUGUAGCGGUGAAAUGCGCAGAUAUCGGGAGGAACACCGGUGGCGAAGGCGGGUCUCUGGGCCGAAACUGACACUGAGGGACGAAAGCUAGGGGAGCGAAUGGG